rnacentral:lncRNA from 1 species
AUGAUGAUGUUCAUGGCGGAUAAUUGGACGGAAAACCCAGGUGGCACCACAACAACCCAUACCGGUGAAUCUGAAGCGUUCUUUAAGACUGCGUCUUCUGGUGGUUCCUGAAUCUAAAGCGUCCAUUUGUUCGGUUAAUAAACCGAGAAUGGUUCUUGAUUCUCUCUGAGAACGAAGUGAUUCCUGCAAUAUGAGACCGAGUU